rnacentral:rRNA from 1 species
UGCCAGCCGCCGCGGUAAUACGGAGGGUCCAAGCGUUAUCCGGAAUCAUUGGGUUUAAAGGGUUCGUAGGCGGGUCAAUAAGUCAGAGGUGAAAUCUUGCAGCUUAACUGUAAAAUUGCCUUUGAUACUGUUGACCUUGAAUUAUUGUGAAGUGGUUAGAAUAUGUAGUGUAGCGGUGAAAUGCUUAGAGAUUACAUAGAAUACCGAUUGCGAAGGCAGAUCACUAACAAUAUAUUGACGCUGAUGAACGAAAGCGUGGGUAGCGAACGGGAUUAGAUA